GAUGAACGCUGGCGGCGUGCCUAAUACAUGCAAGUCGAGCGAACUGAUUAGAAGCUUGCUUCUAUGACGUUAGCGGCGGACGGGUGAGUAACACGUGGGCAACCUGCCUGUAAGACUGGGAUAACUUCGGGAAACCGAAGCUAAUACCGGAUAGGAUCUUCCCCUUCACGGGAGAUGAUUGAAUGAUGGUUUCGGCUAUCACUUACAGAUGGGCCCGCGGUGCAUUAGCUAGUUGGUGAGGUAACGGCUCACCAAGGCAACGAUGCAUAGCCGACCUGAGAGGGUGAUCGGCCACACUGGGACUGAGACACGGCCCAGACUCCUACGGGAGGCAGCAGUAGGGAAUCUUCCGCAAUGGACGAAAGUCUGACGGAGCAACGCCGCGUGAGUGAUGAAGGCUUUCGGGUCGUAAAACUCUGUUGUUAGGGAAGAACAAGUACGAGAGUAACUGCUCGUACCUUGACGGUACCUAACCAGAAAGCCACGGCUAACUACGUGCCAGCAGCCGCAGUAAAAC
rnacentral:rRNA from 1 species